rnacentral:pre_miRNA from 1 species
AGUGGAAUUGAUGGGUCAAAUGGUGAUUCCAUUCUUAAUGUUCCAAGGAAUCUCCAUAUUGCUUUUCAUAUUGGCUGCACCAGUUUGCAGUCCCACCAGCAAU